rnacentral:sRNA from 1 species
GCAGUGUGUGUGAAGUUCCUGGAGGAUGCCCUGGGGCAGAAGCUGCCCAGAAGGCCCCAGCCAGGGCCUGGAGAGCAGCUCACGGUCUUCCAGUUCUGGAGUUUUGUGGAAACCUUGGACAGCCCCACCAUGGAAGCCUACGUGACUGAGACCGCUGAGGAGGUGUUACUGGUGCGGAAUCUGAACUCAGAUGACCAGGCUGUUGUGCUGAAGGCCCUGAGAUUGGCGCCCGAGGGGCGUCUGCGAAGGGACGGGCUGCGGGCCCUCAGCUCCCUGCUCGUCCAUGGCAACAACAAGGUCAUGGCUGCUGUCAGCACCCAGCUCCGAAGCCUGUCACUGGGCCCUACCUUCCGGGAGAGGGCCCUCCUGUGCUUCCUGGACCAGCUGGAGGAUGAGGACGUGCAGACUCGAGUGGCUGGCUGCCUGGCCCUAGGCUGCAUCAAGGUGACCCCUGCCAACCCUCCUACCCCUCUGUCCCC